rnacentral:rRNA from 1 species
AACGAACGCUGGCGGCAGGCCUAACACAUGCAAGUCGAGCGCUCACCUUCGGGUGGGAGCGGCGCACGGGUGAGUAACACGUGGGAACCUACCUUGAAGUACGGAAUAACUGAGGGAAACUUCAGCUAAUACCGUAUACGCCCUACGGGGGAAAGAUUUAUCGCUUCAAGACGGGCCCGCGUUGGAUUAGCUAGUUGGUGAGGUAACGGCUCACCAAGGCAACGAUCCAUAGCUGAUUUGAGAGAAUGAUCAGCCACACUGGGACUGAGACACGGCCCAGACUCCUACGGGAGGCAGCAGUGGGGAAUAUUGGACAAUGGGCGCAAGCCUGAUCCAGUCAUGCCGCGUGAGUGAUGAAGGCCUUCGGGUUGUAAAGCUCUUUCAGAUGGGACGAUGAUGACGGUACCCGCAGAAGAAGCCCCGGCUAACUUCGUGCCAGCCGCCGCCGUAACAC